rnacentral:lncRNA from 1 species
AUAGUUUGUUAUUUCUCCAAAACUUAGUAUAAUGAGUCCUGUUUAUUGUAUAAUGUGCUUAUGUAUUUUAUUUAUGUGUUUUCUCAUCCAUGCAGACCCUGGUAUCUCCUUAAAAAGUACACCUGCCUUUGAUUCACAUAAAGACUUAAUGGAGCUUAAACAAAUCAAUGUUCAAAUACUCACAGAAAAAACUAAAGUGGAAAAUGAAUUAUCUGAAGUCAAAGAAGAGAACUCACAGUUAGAGAAAAAGCUUGUAAGAAAGAAUGAAAGAAUCUUUAAGCUGAGAUCAAUCAUAAAAGAGCAAGCAGAGAAGAAAAGAAAUAUAAUUUGUGCCUAUAAUGAGAUUGUGGAGGAACUGAGAGAAAAAGAAGAGAUGAUUGAGAGAAGAGGAGAACAAUACAACAGACAAGUUACUGAAACACAUGAACUUGAAAUAUGUUUGAAAACAAGAGAUAUGGAGUUGAAGCAGG